UGGGGAAUUUUGGACAAUGGGCGCAAGCCUGAUCCAGCAAUGCCGCGUGCAGGAUGAAGGCCUUCGGGUUGUAAACUGCUUUUGUACGGAACGAAAAGGCUCUGGUUAAUACCUGGGGUCCAUGACGGUACCGUAAGAAUAAGCACCGGCUAACUACGUGCCAGCAGCCGCGGUAAUACGUAGGGUGCAAGCGUUAAUCGGAAUUACUGGGCGUAAAGCGUGCGCAGGCGGUUUUGUAAGACAGAGGUGAAAUCCCCGGGCUCAACCUGGGAACUGCCUUUGUGACUGCAAGGCUGGAGUACGGCAGAGGGGGAUGGAAUUCCGCGUGUAGCAGUGAAAUGCGUAGAUAUGCGGAGGAACACCGAUGGCGAAGGCAAUCCCCUGGGCCUGUACUGACGCU
rnacentral:rRNA from 1 species